UAACGGGGCGGUCCUCUAUGAGGCCCGUCAUUGUAUUGAGUAAAACUCAAAAUAUUUAACGAAACCAAUUGGAGGGCAAGUCUGGUGCCAGCAGCCGCGGUAAUUCCAGCUCCAAAAGCAUAUAUUAAAGUUGUUGCGGUUAAAAAGCUCGUAGUUGGAUCCAUGACCUCGGAGGGCGGUCCCCCACUGGGUGCGUACUGCCCUCCGAGUCCUAUCUGUCAGUUUGUCUGUGUUGCCUUUAAUCGGGUGGCACAGGUGACUGACGUGUUUACUUUGAAAAAAUUAGAGUGUUUAAAGCAGGCGUUGAAUGCCUGAAUAGUGGUGCAUGGAAUAAUGGAAUAGGAUCUCGGUUCUAUUUUGUUGGUUCAAGAGCAUGAGAAAAUGAUUAAGAGGGACAGACGGGGGCAUUUGUAUUGCUGCGUUAGAGGUGAAAUUCUUGGAUCGUAGCAAGACAAACUACUGCGAAGGCAUUUGCCAAGAAUGUUUUCAUUAAUCAAGAACGAAAGUUAGAGGUUCGAAGGCGAUCAGAUACCGCCCUAGUUCUAACCGUAAACCAUGUCGACUAGCUAUCUGUCAGCGUUAAUAAUGACCUGACAGGCAGCUUACCGGAAACGAAAGUUUCUCGAUUCCGGGGGUAGUAUGGUUGCAAAGCUGAAACUUAAAGGAAUUGACGGAAGGGCACCACCAGGAGUGGAGCCUGCGGCUUAAUUUGACCAACACGGGAAAACUCACCCGGCCCGGACACCGUAAGGAUUGACAGAUUAAUAGCUCUUUCUCGAUUUGGUGAUUGGUGGUGCAUGGCCGUUCUUAGUUGGUGGAGCGAUUUGUCUGGUUAAUUCCGAUAACGAACGAGAUUCUAACUUACUAACUAGUUCCACGAUCCUUGUGGUCCUAAAUACUUCUUAGAGGGAAAACCGGCAUUUAGUCGAACGAGAUUGAGCAAUAACAGGUCUGUGAUGCCCUUAGAUGUCCGGGGCUGCACGCGUGCUACACUGAAGGAAUCAGCGUGUUUUUCCCUUGCCUGUAAUGGCUGGGUAACCGACUGAAUCUCCUUCGUGCUAGGGAUAGAUCAUUGAAACUAGUGAUCUUCAACUUGGAAUUCCUGGUACGUUUGAGUCAUAAGCUCAAGCAGAUUACGUCCCUGCCCUUUGUACACACCGCCCGUCGCUACUACCGACUGGCAAUAUCUUUGAGACACUUGGAGCGGCCGUGAGCUACCCUAACCGGUAACUCACGGCUGCGAAAAGGUU
rnacentral:rRNA from 1 species